UAGCUACUGGGUUCAGUGAUAUGUCAUAAUCCCUUCUGUGGGCUGGGCCCACAUAAGGAGAGUCAAAUCACUUGGGUGCUGGGAAGAGGCACAUGUCACACGUGCAAGAAGGUCCAAGGAUGAGAUUAAAAAUUCCACAAAGGUCCAAAUUCUAGAAUCACAGUCUCACAGGUGUGCUAGAUUUUGAUCUGAGAGACAGCAGUCAACCUGUGGACCAGAUCCACUCAUGAGAGUCAAUUUUCCAACUUUUGACUGUCUCCAGGGCCCAGACAGAAGAGAAGAGUCACAUCAUCUAGAUGAUGAAUGAAAAGAUAUGUCAUUAUUCUCCUUUGGGCAGUGCUUCUGCAGAAAAGUUGCACCUUCUAGGUGUUGGACUCAGCAAUAUAUCACAAUGUCUGCAGUAUUUUGGAAGGAGAGGAGAGUCACCAUUACUUAGGUGCUAGGCCCAGCAAUACAUCUCAAGCACUUCUUGGGCAAAGCCCAAGCAGUAAAAAAGAGUCACAUUACCUAGGUUCUGGGUAUAGCAAUAUGUCACAAAUGCCCCUAAGAAGAGGGCCCAGGAAAAGAGAGUCACCUUGGUGAGAAUGUCAGAGAUAUUCCAUUUUUGGGUAUUCACA
rnacentral:lncRNA from 10 species